UGCGGCGUAACUCAAUCGGUAGAGUAACGCAUCAACGACGAGAGUGCUGGUUCGAGCCCAGCAGCCGCAA
rnacentral:tRNA from 1 species